rnacentral:rRNA from 1 species
GAGAUGGCUUCGUGCUCGAAAGAGAGCCGUAACACAGGUGCUGCAUGGCUGUCGUCAGCUCGUGUCGUGAGAUGUUGGGUUAAGUCCCGCAACGAGCGCAACCCUUGUCAUUAGUUGCUACGAAAGGGCACUCUAAUGAGACUGCCGGUGACAAACCGGAGGAAGGUGGGGAUGACGUCAAGUCCUCAUGGCCCUUAUAGGUGGGGCUACACACGUCAUACAAUGGCUGGUACAAAGGGUUGCCAACCCGCAGGGGGAGCCAAUCCCAUAAAGCCAGUCGUAGUCCGGAUCGCAGUCUGCAACUCGACUGCGUGAAGUCGGAAUCGCUAGUAAUCGUGGAUCAGCAUGUCACGGUGAAUACGUUCCCGGGUCUU